UUCUGCCAAGAUCAUCAUCUUCAAGGGAAAUUAAAUUUAACUUCUAUUUUUUUUCCUACAGAGAAAAAAUGUUUUGUAUGAAGAGACACCCCCGCCUCCCUCCCCCAAGAAGGAAGUUUCGUUCAGUGCUGAAUCCCAAUGAACGUUUCUUGACUUAAACCCCUUCUGAACACGUCAAACAAAACCAGCGUGCUUGAGAAGGGAGGAAUGCAAAGGAAGAAAAAGGGAGGUAAGCAAUGCUACAAAUAGAUUUCGUUUACUGUCUAAUGCUUUUAACAUACUUCUGAUCUAUAAAAAGCUCAACUACAUUUUUUCAGAACAGUUCACUUUUUUAAAGAAACUAAAAGAGACGGAUUGAAUUAUUUCACUCUUCUUGGGGAUUAAUCUAAAAGUUGUUUCCUCUUCAUUGUUACUCGCACUACAGCUGUGCUCAAACUCCUUUUCAUUUAGAAAAAAAAGUUUACAUUUUGAGCCUGCGCACACCAUGGUUCCACAUUCCAACAGCUUCCUCCCAGUCCUCUGCCAGCAUCUGCUAUUGAAGACUAGUUCCAAUUUACAAUAAACAGCUUUUCCAGACCAGAACACUUGAAAUUCAGUCCUUCUUGACUGCUUUUCCCAUUCAAUCUCCCUAUUCACCAUUUCAAGGAGAAAACUGUUCUGCCAAUUAUUACACAUCUGGAAAAAAUGCAUGUAUAAGCUGAAAUGCUCUCAGCAGAAAGUUUCAGCUUUCUGCAUAUGGUCACAGCAGGAUUUUAUGGGCCACUGACCAGGCCCAAGUUUAAGUUUUCCCAUCUUUCUCCUCCCUCUCAUUUCUACCCCCACCCUAACCCUCUAAUUGGAAACCCAUAGCAGGUGCAAGCUGUCUGCCACUUUUUCCUCCGCAGGAACCUCAAGUAGUUUCUUCCUGAUAAAUGUUGGCCUUACACUCCAGUUGUAACUCACUAGGCUCUGCGCUAAGUCAAAUGCAUCAGCUGAAGCUGUUAUACAUAAAAAUACACAUUUAAAAAUACCA